rnacentral:rRNA from 1 species
CCGCGAACGGGUGAGUAACACGUGGGUAAUCUACCCCGAUGACCGGGACAACCCGGAGGAAACUCGGGGCUAAUACCGGAUGUGGUGCACAGGCGAUAAGGCCCUGGUUCACCAAAGGUAGCUUCGGCUUCCGCAUUGGGAGGGGGCCCGCGGCCCAUUAGCUUGUUGGGUGGGGUCAAGGCCUACCAAGGCAACGAUGGGUAGCUGGUCUGAGAGGACGAUCAGCCACACUGGGACUGAGACACGGCCCAG